rnacentral:rRNA from 1 species
AGCGAACGUUUGCGGCGGGCUUAACACAUGCAAGUCGAACGAGAAUCCCUUCGGGGAGGAAAGUGGCGCACGGGUGCGUAACACGUGGAUAACCAACCCAUUGGUUUGGGACAACACCGGGAAACUGGUGCUAAUACCAGAUGUGUCGCAGCUGUCUUCAGGCGGUUGCGAGAAAGGCCCGCAAGGGUCGCCAACGGACGGGUCCGCGUCCCAUCAGCUAGUUGGUGAGGUAAUGGCUCACCAAGGCAAAGACGGGUAGCUGGUCUGAGAGGAUGAUCAGCCACACUGGAACUGAGACACGGUCCAGACUCCUACGGGAGGCAGCAGUGGGGAAUAUUGCGCAAUGGGCGAAAGCCUGACGCAGCCACGCCGCGUGAGCGAUGAAGGUCUUCGGGUCGUAAAGCUCUGUGGGGAGAGACGAAGAAAGCCUGUGAAGAGCAGGCCUUGACGGUAUCUCCUUAGCAAGCACCGGCUAACUCCGUGCCAGCAGCC